rnacentral:rRNA from 1 species
GUGGAUAACCUACCUAUAAGACUGGGAUAACUUCGGGAAACCGGAGCUAAUACCGGAUAAUAUUUUGAACCGCAUGGUUCAAAAGUGAAAGACGGUCUUGCUGUCACUUAUAGAUGGAUCCGCGCUGCAUUAGCUAGUUGGUAAGGUAACGGCUUACCAAGGCAACGAUGCAUAGCCGACCUGAGAGGGUGAUCGGCCACACUGGAACUGAGACACGGUCCAG